rnacentral:tRNA from 1 species
GCAGCGGUAGUUCAGUUUGUUAGAAUACCGGCCUGUCACGCCGGGGGUCGCGGGUUCGAGCCCCGUCCGCUGCGACA